CCUACGGGUGGCUGCAGUUUCGAAUCAUUCACAAUGGGCGAAAGCCUGAUGGUGCGACGCCGCGUGAGGGAUGAAGGUCUUCGGAUUGUAAACCUCUGUCACUGGGGAGAAAACGCUUUGAGUUAAUAGUUCAAAGCCUGAUUUAACCCGGAGAGGAAGCAGUGGCUAACUCUGUGCCAGCAGCCGCGGUAAUACAGAGACUGCAUGCGUUAUUAGGGUUCACUGGCCGUAGUGUGUGCGCAGGGUGCCGUCCCGGGGCUCAACCCCGGAACUGAGCCUUAAACUACAUGGCUAGAGUAUUGGAGAGGGUAGUGGAAUUCACGGUGUAGCAGUGAAAUGCGUAGAUAUCGUGAGGAACACCAGAGGCGAAGGCGACUACCUGGACAAUUACUGACGCUCAGGCACGAAAGCGUGGGGAGCAAAAGGGAUUAGAUACCCGGGUAGUC
rnacentral:rRNA from 1 species